UACGUAGGGGGGCAAGCGUUGUCCGGAUUUAUUGGGCGUAAAGAGCGUGUAGGCGGCCAGGUAGGUCUGCUGUGAAAACUCGAGGCUCAACCUCGAGACGUCGGCGGAAACCAUCUGGCUAGAGUCCGGAAGAGGAGAGUGGAAUUCCCGGUGUAGAGGUGAAAUUCGUAGAUAUCGGGAGGAACACCAGUGGCGAAGGCGGCGACCUGGGCCAAUACUGACGCUGAGGUGCGAAAGCGUGGGGAGCAAACAGG
rnacentral:rRNA from 1 species